AUGAGUAAUCAAUUUUUAUAGAAGUUUUAUAAUGUAUUUCGAGCUUAUAUAAUUUGACACGGUUUAAUUUUUUAUACAUUUUUUAGGUUAAGGACGACUGAAUAGGCAUGAAAAUGAUUUUAUUUUGUUAACUAAAGAUUAUCGACUUGAAUAGAAAGGAGAUGACUUACAUCAAGCACGUGGUUAGUAAAAAAAAAAAAAGAUACAUUGACAAUGAGUUUGAUUUGGACCUCGCAUAUAUCAAGCCAAACAUAAUUGCAAUGGGCUUUCCUUCAGAAAGUCUUGAGAGUAUAUACAGAAACAAUUGCGAUGAUGUUG
rnacentral:lncRNA from 1 species